rfam:Sphingomonas sp. LM7, complete genome.
UAGGCACGCGCGGGAGAGUGGUGGUCCUUCGAGGGCCACCCGCCGAAGGAGCAACCGCCCCGGAAUCUCUCAGGCAUCAGGGACCGCGCGUGCAGU